AACGAACGCUGGCGGCAGGCUUAACGCAUGCAAGUCGAGCGCCCCGCAAGGGGAGCGGCAGACGGGUGAGUAACGCGUGGGAAUCUACCCAUCUCUACGGAAUAACGCAUGGAAACGUGUGCUAAUACCGUAUACGUCCUUCGGGAGAAAGAUUUAUCGGAGAUGGAUGAGCCCGCGUUGGAUUAGCUAGUUGGUGGGGUAAAGGCCUACCAAGGCGACGAUCCAUAGCUGGUUUGAGAGGAUGAUCAGCCACACUGGGACUGAGACACGGCCCAGACUCCUACGGGAGGCAGCAGUGGGGAAUCUUAGACAAUGGGCGCAAGCCUGAUCUAGCUAUGCCGCGUGAGCGAUGAAGGCCUUAGGGUUGUAAAGCUCUUUCACCGGUGAAGAUAAUGACGGUAACCGGAGAAGAAGCCCCGGCUAACUUCGUGCCAGCCGCCGCCGUAAGAC
rnacentral:rRNA from 1 species